rnacentral:pre_miRNA from 1 species
AUAUGAAUCUCUUGGAGAUCUUGUUAAAAUGCAGAUUCUGAUUCAGUAGAUCUAGGGUGGGCCUGAGAUUCUGCAUUUCUAAUGAGCUUCCAGGUGGUCUCUAU